rnacentral:rRNA from 1 species
GACGAACGCUGGCGGCGUGCUUAACACAUGCAAGUCGAACGGAAAGGCCCUGCCUUUGUGGGGUGCUCGAGUGGCGAACGGGUGAGUAACACGUGAGUAACCUGCCCUUGACUUUGGGAUAACUUCAGGAAACUGGGGCUAAUACCGGAUAGGAGCUCCUGCUGCAUGGUGGGGGUUGGAAAGUUUCGGCGGUUGGGGAUGGACUCGCGGCUUACCAGCUUGUUGGUGGGGUAGUGGCUUACCAAGGCUUUGACGGGUAGCCGGCCUGAGAGGGUGACCGGCCACAUUGGGACUGAGAUACGGCCCAGACUCCUACGGGAGGCAGCAGUGGGGAAUAUUGCACAAUGGGCGGAAGCCUGAUGCAGCAACGCCGCGUGCGGGAUGACGGCCUUCGGGUUGUAAACCGCUUUCGCCUGUGACGAAGCGUGAGUGACGGUAAUGGGUAAAGAAGCACCGGCUAACUACGUG